ensembl:lncRNA
AACACAUUAAUGAUAUAUUUUUUAAUAUCUUAUUCCUUGGAAACUUACAAAUUACUUGUGGAAAGGUUUUCAGAAUUAUAGACAAAGUUAUUUCGUGGCAUACUGAAAUAAAUUUUGAAAAUAGAAAAAAUCUUUGUUAUAAGUCAUUUGCAACUCUAUAUGAAGAUUGAAAAAUACUGUCUUAUAGAUAGAUGUGGUGACAAUAGAAGAGAUGACAUAGAAUAGCAUAGAUCUAUCUAGUCAUUUAAAGGAGAUAGUUUCAUUGAUUCUAGGUAGAUCUGUUCUGUUAAAUUGUUUUUUCUUUCCUUAUAAAUGUUGUAGAUUAUGUUUGCUUAGUUUCUAGAAAGGACAAUAAUGGCUGCAUAUCUUGCUUAGAUUGUUUAUGUUUUGGAAGCCACAUUUUGAAGAGGGGUGAUUAUCUCUUUUGUAAAAACAGUCUUGUUUGUUCUCCCUGCAGCAAUCAGUUGAUAUCACUAGGGGUCAGUCUACAUGAACAGAUGUCCAUAUAUAUGAUGGUUUUAAGACAGUGUUAUCUCAUUUCAUGCAGUGUUUUUUCAUUUGGGGAUAUGGACACUUACAUAGUAAUAUACAGCUUCUUGCAGCUUGAAUUUUCUAACUAUACUCUUGACAGGACAUUUCUAUGUCGUCAAGGAUUUCUGUAUGUCGCUCAACUGUUCUUUUCCCUUAGCUGCCUGGUUCCUUUCUGUCUGAUGUCAACUCAGAGCCUUCAUCUAAUUUAAUAUGCAGGAACAAAAGAAUGGCUAACAACAACGACAGGAUCGUGGUCAGGGUAUUCUCAAAGCCUUUGUGAAUGGACUGAAGGUGACAAUUGCUCCCAGGAUGACUGGAUUUGGGGUAUGUCUGACACGUGGGAGUUAUAGAGGAGGGUGACAUUGCAACUGUGAUGCCUUAUCUAACUGCCGGUUUCUAUUAUUUUCUUUCAUGUUCCCUCUGCCUCCUGGAAGACCCGGAAGUCUUUCUUCACCACUGCACCGUAAGUUUUUCUUGGUUGGAGACCUUAAGAAUAAAGACCGAAGUCCUUCAAAGAGGAAGAAAUUCUGCCUCUGGACUGCCUUAGGACUCAAGACUGCAACAUCAACUCUUCCCUGGGUCUCCAUGCCACUGGCCUGCCCUGCAGAUUUUAGACUUGACAGUGAGUCCAAAUCUCAGAUUAUUUAUCAUGGAGAACAAAAUUAUGUGCUUUUGUAUGAAAGGGAAGAAGAAACAAUAACGGGCCUAGGGAAACAAUAGGACCACAUAGAACUAAUGCCUACAUUGCUGUGAUCUGAGGAGUGACCAAAACCCCAAAGCUAAGAGGACUUCAAAGAUAACAACUUCAAAGCACCUGAGUUUUCAAACUGGAUAUAAUGUCUGGGGUGAUCUGGCAGAUUUUGAAAGGAUAACAUUCUGCCUGAGUUAUGAUAAGACUUCAUAAAGAUUUAUGUGUUUCUUGAAGUUUAUGAUUUGUAUAUUUCCUUCAUCUUUCCUUUCACUUGUUGUUAUAAAUUGCAGCUGUUAUUGUAUGCAUUUUUAAAGGAAUGUGUGUUAUAUAUUUUCCUGCUACAGGCUGUUUGGAUGCCUUCAAUCCAUGAAAUGUGUUCAGAUCUUGAAAAAUUAAUAACAGGAAGAGAUUCUUUAGAAAAUAGAAAAACAUUAAAUUAUAGCAUGUGGUGUUAGUAUCAUUGAGCAUCAGGAAAUGAUAGUUCAAUGUUAAAAAUCGCUAUAAGACUGAAUUUUAUUCUUAGUAUAAUACGUUUCUCUGACUGAAGUGGACCUGGGAAUUAAAAAAAAAAAAUGAGGGAAUUGAACAAACAUCCAGAAGUAAAUCUCUUAAAAUCAGAGAGGGGGAAAAUCCCAAGCAAGUGAACAUUGACAAAAAUAAAAUAAAAUUUAAAAAUUGCUAAAUUUCUUUGAGAAUUUGAUAUAACCUCUAUGUCAUAAGUAAUGUCAUCAAAUGUAUCUUAUAGGUUAACCUAAGGCAAAUUGCUUAACUAAAUUUCUUUAAAGAUUAAAUAGUUUUGACUCAUGUUAAAAUAUCUACUUUUGAUGUAAAUAAAUGAUUCAAUUUAUUCUUGUUACAUAUAAUGAAAGCCAGUACAUUUUGUUUUUGAAUCAGUAUAAAGCAUUAUGAAGCAAUCUUAAGCAUUUAGCACAAUUGUUAGUUUUCGAAAAGUUGUACUUGGAGUGAGAACAUGAAUGUAGAGAGCUGGAGAAGGAACUAGAAUUAUGUCUGCUACUUUUCUGACCUGGAUUAUCUUAUAUCCACAGUAUCACUAUGGGGUAAUGGGGAUAAAGUUGUUAUAAGAUUAUUUGCAUAAAAAAAUUAGAAUCCUUGAAAAAAAGCCAUUCCAAAAAGUGAAAUUCUUAGCAUUUGUAUACAAUUGUCCAUUCUUACUUACAAAAAAUAAAUUUAAUAUAAAAUUUUCUGUCUGAAGUAUUCAUUCCUUUGCAAUUUUAAUUAUGUAUCUCUUAAAUCAACUAUAAAACAUGAAUGUGCAUGAAGUCCACUUUAAAUUAACACUCAAAAAUAUCUAGCCUUUAAUAAAAUAUCUAAAUAUGCAAAUGCA